UAUGGGCUGGAGCCGGGUAUGUUGAACAACCCACAAUGUGUGGAAUAAUUCUGUACCAACACUUAACUCACCCAACAUGCUGGAAGCACCCCCUUAAGAAACACUGGCCAAGACCAAGCUGCUCUCCACCCAGGCCAUUGCAUCAGACUAAGCGAUGUAUUUCCUUUCUCCGUGAGCUGGUUUGGAAUGAAUUCCCCUUCACUUAGCCCAGAGAACUUCAAGUACUACUCGCAGAUGACAGAGAGAGACAGCAAUCGAUCAAGAUCUAGGUAUCCCUUUUUGUAAAUGUCCAACAAUUGCUUUCAGAAGGGAAGAGACAGCCAAUAAUCCACAACAGCUGGGACUAGAUUCCCAUCCAUUCUGCACACUUUUUUGCACAGUGUUGAAAGCAACAUAAAAUCAGCUCAGCCCCAUCAGAACGUUCUGUCAUGAGGUAACAGAGACACAUUCCAAAAGGAAGGAAAAGGGGAUUGCAACGUGCUUGACUACUCCCCAAAGGUGCAUGCACCAUAAGCCAGUAACUGUUCAAAGAUCAGAACAAGAGCCAAGCAACUUGCUGCCUAAAGCCUGUUUGUGUCGGCAAAUGAAGGACAGCGAAACACAUGGAAAAGCCAGCAGUCAAGAUCACGGGCUGGGCAGAACAGAGGACAGAGAACCCCAGCCGAAGACCACCAGCAGCUGCUACGUCUGCCUCCCACCGCAUCUGGCUGACUGAAAGACCUCCAGACAGCGAUGGCCACUGCUUCACUUCUGCUUCGGAAAUCUCACUCAGAAGGAAUAGACAAGAACCAAGUGACACCCAACUGACAGAGAUACCACAGCUUGAAAUGUCACCUCUCCGCCCACCAACUCCACCCCAGCCCCUGGCCACCCACAGACUCUCUUGCAAAGCAAACAGCACACUGUGUCUUCAGUGAUUCCAGAAACUUCGCCUCUUGGAACCUGCUGGAACAUUUCCAAAUCAUGAUGAAAUUAUAAUUUCUCUCAUCCACACAGUCACCAAAUGACCCAUGUGAUGAGGAAUUUGCUAUCCACUGCAGACAAGACCCAACACCAGUAGAAUAUUCUGGCCCCAAGCUGUUCAAAGGAAAGCCUCUGUUUUUAAACCUCAAAUUAAAAGUCAAUAAAGAAAUCUGGCAGCUGGCA
rnacentral:lncRNA from 13 species